GGGUUGUGAGGUUAAGCGACUAAGCGUACACGGUGGAUGCCCUGGCAGUCAGAGGCGAUGAAGGACGUGCUAAUCUGCGAAAAGCGUCGGUAAGGUGAUAUGAACCGUUAUAACCGGCGAUGUCCGAAUGGGGAAACCCAGUGUGAUUCGUCACACUAUCGUUAACUGAAUACAUAGGUUAACGAGGCGAACCGGGGGAACUGAAACAUCUAAGUACCCCGAGGAAAAGAAAUCAACCGAGAUUCCCCCAGUAGCGGCGAGCGAACGGGGAGCAGCCCAGAGUCUGAAUCAGCUUGUGUGUUAGUGGAACGGUCUGGAAAGUCCGACGGUACAGGGUGAUAGUCCCGUACACCAAAAUGCACAGGUUGUGAACUCGAAGAGUAGGGCGGGACACGUGGUAUCCUGUCUGAAUAUGGGGGGACCAUCCUCCAAGGCUAAAUACUCCUGACUGACCGAUAGUGAACCAGUACCGUGAGGGAAAGGCGAAAAGAACCCCGGCGAGGGGAGUGAAAAAGAACCUGAAACCGUGUACGUACAAGCAGUGGGAGCACCUUCGGGUGUGACUGCGUACCUUUUGUAUAAUGGGUCAGCGACUUAUAUUCUGUAGCAAGGUUAACCGUAUAGGGGAGCCGCAGGGAAACCGAGUCUUAACUGGGCGUUAAGUUGCAGGGUAUAGACCCGAAACCCGGUGAUCUAGCCAUGGGCAGGUUGAAGGUUGGGUAACACUAACUGGAGGACCGAACCGACUAAUGUUGAAAAAUUAGCGGAUGACUUGUGGCUGGGGGUGAAAGGCCAAUCAAACCGGGAGAUAGCUGGUUCUCCCCGAAAGCUAUUUAGGUAGCGCCUCGUGAACUCAUCUUCGGGGGUAGAGCACUGUUUCGGCUAGGGGGUCAUCCCGACUUACCAACCCGAUGCAAACUACGAAUACCGAAGAAUGUUAUCACGGGAGACACACGGCGGGUGCUAACGUCCGUCGUGAAGAGGGAAACAACCCAGACCGCCAGCUAAGGUCCCAAAGUCAUGGUUAAGUGGGAAACGAUGUGGGAAGGCACAGACAGCCAGGAUGUUGGCUUAGAAGCAGCCAUCAUUUAAAGAAAGCGUAAUAGCUCACUGGUCGAGUCGGCCUGCGCGGAAGAUGUAACGGGGCUAAACCAUGCACCGAAGCUGCGGCAGCGACACUAUGUGUUGUUGGGUAGGGGAGCGUUCUGUAAGCCUGCGAAGGUGGCCUGUGAGGGUUGCUGGAGGUAUCAGAAGUGCGAAUGCUGACAUAAGUAACGAUAAAGCGGGUGAAAAGCCCGCUCGCCGGAAGACCAAGGGUUCCUGUCCAACGUUAAUCGGGGCAGGGUGAGUCGACCCCUAAGGCGAGGCCGAAAGGCGUAGUCGAUGGGAAACAGGUUAAUAUUCCUGUACUUGGUGUUACUGCGAAGGGGGGACGGAGAAGGCUAUGUUAGCCGGGCGACGGUUGUCCCGGUUUAAGCAUGUAGGCGGAGGUUCCAGGUAAAUCCGGUACCUUUUAACGCUGAGGUGUGAUGACGAGGCACUACGGUGCUGAAGUAACAAAUGCCCUGCUUCCAGGAAAAGCCUCUAAGCAUCAGGUAACAUUAAAUCGUACCCCAAACCGACACAGGUGGUCAGGUAGAGAAUACCAAGGCGCUUGAGAGAACUCGGGUGAAGGAACUAGGCAAAAUGGUGCCGUAACUUCGGGAGAAGGCACGCUGGUGUGUAGGUGAAGUCCCUGCGGAUGGAGCUGAGACCAGUCGAAGAUACCAGCUGGCUGCAACUGUUUAUUAAAAACACAGCACUGUGCAAACACGAAAGUGGACGUAUACGGUGUGACGCCUGCCCGGUGCCGGAAGGUUAAUUGAUGGGGUUAUCCGUAAGGAGAAGCUCUUGAUCGAAGCCCCGGUAAACGGCGGCCGUAACUAUAACGGUCCUAAGGUAGCGAAAUUCCUUGUCGGGUAAGUUCCGACCUGCACGAAUGGCGUAAUGAUGGCCAGGCUGUCUCCACCCGAGACUCAGUGAAAUUGAACUCGCUGUGAAGAUGCAGUGUACCCGCGGCAAGACGGAAAGACCCCGUGAACCUUUACUAUAGCUUGACACUGAACAUUGAGCCUUGAUGUGUAG
rnacentral:rRNA from 1 species